UACGGAGGUGGCAAGCGUUGCUCGGAAUCACUGGGCGUAAAGGGCGCGUAGGCGGGGAGGUAAGUCGGGUGUGAAAUCCCUCGGCCCAACCGAGGAACUGCGCCCGAGACUGCUUCUCUUGAGUCCCGGAGAGGAAGAUGGAAUUCCCGGUGUAGCGGUGAAAUGUGUAGAGAUCGGGAGGAACACCGGUGGCGAAGGCGGUCUUCUGGACGGUGACUGACGCUGAGGCGCGAAAGCGUGGGGAGCAAACGGG
rnacentral:rRNA from 3 species